CAGUAGCCACGGUAAUACGUAGGUGGCAAGCGUUGUCCGGAAUUAUUGGGCGUAAAGCGCGCGCAGGCGGCUUCCCAAGUCCCUCUUAAAAGUGCGGGGCUUAACCCCGUGAUGGGAAGGAGACUGGGAAGCUGGAGUAUCGGAGAGGAAAGUGGAAUUCCUAGUGUAGCGGCGAAAUGCGUAGAGAUUAGGAAGAACACCGGUGGCGAAGGCGACUUUCUGGACGAAAACUGACGCUGAGGCGCGAAAGCGUGGGGAGCAAACAGGAUUAGAGACCCCCGUAGUCCCUGUCUCUUAUACA
rnacentral:rRNA from 1 species